GAAGAACCUUACCUACUCUUGACAUCCAGAGAAUUUGCUAGAGAUAGGUUAGUGCCUUCGGGAACUCUGAGACAGGUGCUGCAUGGCUGUCGUCAGCUCGUGUUGUGAAAUGUUGGGUUAAGUCCCGCAACGAGCGCAACCCUUAUCCUUUGUUGCCAGCACGUAAUGGUGGGAACUCAAAGGAGACUGCCGGUGAUAAACCGGAGGAAGGUGGGGAUGACGUCAAGUCAUCAUGGCCCUUACGAGUAGGGCUACACACGUGCUACAAUGGCAUAUACAAAGAGAAGCGAACUCGCGAGAGCAAGCGGACCUCAUAAAGUAUGUCGUAGUCCGGAUUGGAGUCUGCAACUCGACUCCAUGAAGUCGGAAUCGCUAGUAAUCGUAGAUCAAGAAUGCUA
rnacentral:rRNA from 1 species